rnacentral:rRNA from 1 species
ACGUAGGUGGCAAGCGUUGUCCGGAAUUACUGGGUGUAAAGGGCGUGUAGGCGGGUUAUCAAGUCAGAUGUGAAAUUCCAGGGCUCAACCCUGGCGCUGCAUCUGAAACUGAUGAUCUUGAGUACUGGAGAGGGAAGCGGAAUUCCUAGUGUAGCGGUGAAAUGCGUAGAUAUUAGGAGGAACACCAGUGGCGAAGGCGGCUUUCUGGACAGUAACUGACGCUGAGGCGCGAAAGCGUGGGGAGCAAACAGG